GAUGAACGCUGGCGGCGUGCUUAACACAUGCAAGUCGAGCGAAGCACUUAUCAUUGACUCUUCGGAAGAUUUGAUAUUUGACUGAGCGGCGGACGGGUGAGUAACGCGUGGGUAACCUGCCUCAUACAGGGGAAUAACAGUUAGAAAUGGCUGCUAAUGCCGCAUAAGCGCACAGGACCGCAUGGUCUGGUGUGAAAAAACUGAGGUGGUAUGAGAUGGACCCGCGUCUGAUUAGGUAGUUGGUGGGGUAACGGCCUACCAAGCCGACGAUCAGUAGCCGGCCUGAGAGGGUGAACGGCCACAUUGGGACUGAGACACGGCCCAGACUCCUACGGGAGGCAGCAGUGGGGAAUAUUGCACAAUGGGGGAAACCCUGAUGCAGCGACGCCGCGUGAAGGAAGAAGUAUUUCGGUAUGUAAACUUCUAUCAGCAGGGAAGAAAAUGACGG
rnacentral:rRNA from 1 species